GGAGGAGGAGGAAGAGGAGGAGGUGACGACCGGGACUGGUCGCCCACACGCUGCCCUGCCUGGCGCGGCUACGAUAUUUUGUCCAAGAGCGCUUUGAAAAAUCCGCUGAGGACAAGUCACACACUCGGAGCUAUUUAAAUCAGCCACGCAGCGAAUCAGACGUGUCUCCCAACACUGCGCUCCGCUCUCCUUCCUGCGCCUCAAGUGACCGGAGAGGCGCAAAACCCUCACUAAGCGCUGUCCCUUUUAUUGGCACUGAAUGGAAUAAAGUACUUUUUUCUUCACAGGCAAUCCUCAAGGUGGAACGCGUGGCUUCACGGUGGUGAAAAGAAAGGAUAAAGGAUUCUUGAAGAGGGAAUGGAAGAACAAGGGAGAGCAAUAAGGGUUGGUGCAGGCAUUUGCAAGAUCAUUUGUUAUGAUCCAGUGCAUUUGACCUCAACUGGAACCAACAAUCUACCCGGGUAUGAGAGACCAUAUGCACACACACACACACACACACACACACACACACACACACACACACACACACACACUUAGGUGCUAAGCAUCACACUCAUCUGUUAAACGGAGGGAAAAGAUCACUCUAUACUAAGUAAGUUUCACUCAUCUCUCCCUCCCUCAUUCUCCCAUUUGUCCAUGUCAUCCCUCACUACUCCACUUUCACAUCACCCAUCAGUUAGAAACACACACACACACACACACACACACACACACUUCUCUCCAGAUCAGCCAUCAGUUUGUCCGACAGACACAUAAAUGUUCAUCUUCACAUUCACGCACAGACCAACUCCUUUACAUCACACGUCAGAUCACACCAGAUUCACUCACACACACACAUACAGACACAAUGCAUCUCACAUCAGUUAUAUCUUUUAUGCAGAAGUAGAAAGAGGGUGUUGGCAGCAGGAGGGGUUGACAGGGGAGAAGAGGAAGUACACAGGAAGUACAUUAGUUAUCACUCCCAUGUCUUCUCCACCUUUUCACUUCUUAUCACCACUCGAUGUCUCAGACCCCAGCUGAGCUGCUUCUCCUUCUCAUCCCACCCCUUUCCUUUUCUCUUUCUGUCUCUCUCUUUCUUACACACACACCUCUAAAAAUGACUUCCGUGCUCCACUUUAGUGUCAGGCCCUGGGAUCUAGAUGACAUUUGGCAAGCUGCAGAAGCCGCGAGACAACUGGAUGAAAUAUUUAAAUGAAAGACGGCAGGGGUAGAAGAGGUGAAGAAAAGAAGGGGGAAAAGAGGGAGAGAAAGGAAUACAGGACAGAGGACGAGGGAAGGAGAGAGUGACGAUAUUCAGAUGGUUAGCAGAAUGUGAAGGAUUUCUUUUCUUGGCAAAGAGAGGGCCGUGUGACAAGAAGUGCAGAUGAAUUGGCUUUCACCUACAAAGUAGCCUGAAGAGAAAUAAACCAAUAUAGUAUGAGAUCACAUCGCUUUGUCUUGGAAUCAUCAGCAAGUCUCAGUAUGUAUCAUAGUACUUUCAGCACUGUGCCAACUCAGCUGCAUGGAGUAGGGCUAUGAAUCUAAAACAUAACCAAAUGAAAUGUAACUUUGUUACAGUGAUUUUGUGACCUUAUAAUUAUAGAGUUCUGUUGGACUUUUAUCUGACUAAAUGAUAUAUGCUAAUGCUAGCAUGGCAACAUGCUCAAUGACAAUGCUAACAGGCUGAUGUUUAACAGGUAUAAUGUUUACUUUAUUCAUAAUCUUAGUUUAAUGUGUUAGCAUGCAAACAUUUAGUAGCACUAAACACAAAGUAGAAGGAAUAUCAUUAGUUUUUUUAGAUAUUUGGUCAUAAACAAAGUUGAAAAUCUGACCUGAUGAUGGGGCUAGAGGAAAGGUAAUCAUCAAAGUUAUUACAAUUCAUCCUCAGCGGAAAAUGAAUAGCUGUACCAAAUGUUAUGGCAAUCCAUCCAAUAUUUGUUGAGAUAUUUCACUCAGAACUACAAAUGUCAACCUCAUAGCGGCACAACUUUGUUACAGUGAUUUUGUGACCUUCUACCAAAAUCAGUUGAAUUCAUCCUCUGGGGACCAUAAAUGUCUAUACAGAAUUUCAUUUCAAUCCAUCUAAUAGUUGUUGAGAUAUUUUGAUCGGAACCAAAGUGAUGGAUCGACAGGCCGACAUCGCCAUCCAUAGUGGCAUGCCACUAGCAUGGCUACAAAAUUAGUUAUUCAUAUGACACUAUUCUGACAAGUAAUUAACAUUUUGUGUAGGUUUUUUUGAGCUUUAUGAAUUAAUGGCUCUAUAGUCUAAAAAUACAAAAGAGUCUAUCUCCAAAGUCAUUCUAUAACUUGGUUCUAUAAGGUUCUACCUGCAAGGCCAAUCCGUGCUUAGAUAGCACACUUGAGGACGAAUGAAGUUCCGCCUUUUUGCCAUAUUGAUAUCAGAAGUUUUGAAUCUUCAAAAUUGAUAAUUUUAUGGAAGACCAUAUGAAUGACACUGAUAUAAAUGACAACUAAGUUGAGAGUAUUUUUUAGCUUGUUUAAACUUGGUGCAAAGCUGAUUUUCACACUUAGCUUACACUCUAGACAGUUAUACAGCUCAUGCAAGAAUUCCUGUUUUUAUUAGUAACUCAACGUAUUGUUAAGUCCUUUUAAUAUGUAGAUAAAUGCAGGUUUCUAGCUAGAUAAUUGCGGAACAUUUUAGUGAUCUGAUGCUAACUCUACAGUGCUGCUGUAUCUACAGUAUUUGUGUCUACUUAUAUCUAAUCUACUGCAGACUCAGAAUGAUAACAGUGACUACAUUCAGAGCUCAGACAUUGACAGUGAUGACCCAAGCUUGUCCAGGCAAAAAAGCAGAUGCACAGCAGACCAGUGGGACAGUGACAAACAGAAGAAAAUGUUGAGCAGAAAGCAUCAGCAGAAAUUAGUAGGGAAAUAUAUUUUGACUUUUUUGCAUAGUUUUAACUCCCAUUGUUAUUUAUUUAUUUAAAAUGUGUAGCUGUGUAUGUGCUAAAAUACCUGAUAUCAUCCUUUUAGUAAUGAAUACAUUGAUUGUGUAUCAGCUAUUAACACCAAGUAAGACUACACUGUCUAUUUUUUCCAAAUAAUUGCUUUACAAUUCCAAACAGAAAAUUAGUUCUUAGUAUUAGGAGAUUCUAUCUGCAAAACACAAAGGGUGCCUGACCAAUAAAAGAGAACUUUGCUGCAUACCAUUUUUGCCAUCUAAGAUAUGAAAAAUUGAACCUCAUCAUCUCAAAACCAGGAUCGCAGAUAGAACCUCAUAAUGAUGUUUGAUUCCAUCUCCCAUGCAAGACAAAAGAUACAACAAAGAAGCACUUUUAGGUGUGUAUAUGUGUGUUGUUUAUUCAAUUUAUCUAAUUAUCCACACUUGCUGUAUAAGCUAUAAGCUUUUUAAUUAUUUUCUUAGUCAGUCGUGUGUGCAGAACUGCAUGCUGGUUGUGCAAAUGCUUAUUUAAAAUGGAUGCAUGUUUGUGUUUUUCACUGUGUGUGUAGGUCUUUGUUCAUAUUCUGUAUAUAAUUGUACUGUACAACUAAAAACAUGCAUGCGUGGGUUUGUGUUUGCAGUAUAAUUUAUACCCCUUUAUGCUGCAUUACUGACUUGUAUGGUUCCCAUCACUGUUACAUCCUGCUAGCAAGGGACUGUGCUUACUACAGAGCUGGACAUCAGGGCUGUCUGUCAAAGACGUGGGGGAGUUUGUUUGCUUGUACAGGCAACAAACCUAAAUGUGCAGCAAGGAAGUGAAUACAAGUUUACUGUAUCCUGUAGUGUUUAAUUGAUUGGAAAAAAGUCAAUAAAAAUUACGAUUUCA